rnacentral:rRNA from 1 species
GGAGUCUGGGCCGUAUCUCAGUCCCAAUGUGCCCGAUCACCCUCUCAGGCCGGGUACCCGUCAUCGCCAUGGUGGUCCGUUACACCGCCAUCAAGCUGAUGGGACGCAGGCCGCUCCCCCGGCGGAGCCGAAGCUCCUUUCCUCCCGCGGCUCCAGCCCGCGGGACCGUAUCCGGUAUUACCCUGCAUUUCUGCAGGCUAUCCCCGUCCGGGGGGUGCGUCACCUACGCGUUACUCACCAGUCCGCCGCUCUGGGGAGGUGCAAGCACCUCCUUGCCGCCCGACUUGCAUGCUUAAGACGCGCCGCCAGCGUUCGUU